rnacentral:lncRNA from 1 species
UCCCUUUAGUAAACCAAUACAGCAGCGACAUGUCCGUGUUCUUUCGAGCAUUCAUUGACGCAAUGAUUAGGAUGGGAAAUCUUAGACCUUUGACUGGAACUCAAGGAGAGAUUAGACAAAAUUGUAGGGUUGUGAAUCCACGAAUUAGGGUUGUGGAGAACGACGAUGGUGUUGUGAGUUCUAUCUGAUUAUGCAUGUUGCCAUGUUGGGGAUAUAUAUAUGGAUAUGUAAGAAAGUAUAAAAUGCGCACGUGAGAACAAUUUCGACUAAUAAAAGUUUUCACGAGUUAUGAGAUUUAUGAAAUUGGUAUUAAGUACACUUACAAUGCAUAUAUACGUGGUGUUUAUAACACUUCAAUUUCUGACAUGUAUUCAAGUAGCUUUUGAUUUAACAUCACGUCGAAAUUUAUAAUAUAUAUUCAAGCAAAUUGUUGAAAUAAAAUGUCCUAGUUUUUGUCAGCUUUCGUUACUUAUAAAUGAGAAGAAAAGACAAGGAGCUAAACUGCUAAAGUAUUAGAUUAGGUUAACUUUUGUUAACCACAAAAUCUAGCACAUGGACGCGUAUGAAGUUGAUAAAUCAUAUAUGUAUUAGGUAACAUUGUUAUUUCAGAUUAAAUUGUUUUGAGCAAGAAUUGUAUAAAAAGUUUAUCGAUUUGUGAAGGUGGCUUCUGAGGCUACAUUUGCGGGAUUCACGGGGAAGAGAAGGACAAAACAUAAGGAAUUCUAUUUUUCAUAAAAUAUUAAUUAGGAAGAUAGUUUGAAAAUGUUUGCCAAUUAGGAAGGACAAUCCUUUUAGAAGGUUUUCCGAGAUUUUUUUUUUUGUCUUGUAUCCAAUUAUAAAUGUACGUACCUCGUGUAUAAAUUAAAAAAAAAAAAGUUUAAACAUUCCUUUGAAACUACAACAAACUCAUUUAUACAAAUAUCCGUCCCCUCAAAAAUUCAGAUAUAUCAACAAGAACACGUCACAAAUAAAACGUAAUUAUGGUAACAUGAUGAUAUUAUAUUUUCCUACAUAGACAUAACUUGUGUCUAACAUGAAUCAACAAACAUAUCUUUUACGACCCUACAUAAUCCAAAAUUGAUAUCAAAUAUCGUACUAAUUUCAUUUUCCGUACCACUGUUGAAAUUUGUGUCGUUUAUAAAUUAUUUAUCAAACUUGAAAAAUAUCUAAGAAUAAGAAUAUAUUGGCGGAAUUGAGAAACAUUAGAUACGUACGUCGAUUUGUAGUAAGUAAAAAAUGUAGGGGAGACGGUUCUAAAAAGUUGUAAUUGAAGUUAAAAUGAUCAAUCUUACUUGAUUUAUCACAGCGUCGGACAAAUACAGCCAAACACUACGAGCAAGUUUAAUUCUGUCCAAAGAAUAUAUAGCACGUCGAAAUUAGUUUAUUUUAAAUUCUAAUUAUUAUUUAUCCUUCAACCACUCUAGUAAAACACAUGGCCUUAAAAAAAGACCUAAUAGUAUUUUUUAAGAACACAAUACCUAAUAGUCUAAAAUACCAUUAAAGAAAGACUCGAACAUCUCUAUAUAGUGUUCCUUCUAGGCCCUUAGUUAAUACACACACUCACAACUCAAAUCAUCUUUUUGUCUCCCUCCUGAAAAAAUGGGGUUUUCGUCUUCAUUAUCUUGCAGUGCUAUGGGAGCCCUAAUAGUGGGUUGCCUUCUGCUUCAAGCAUCAAACUCUAAUGCUCAGUUGAGACCUGACUUCUACUUCAGGACUUGCCCACCUAUUUUCAACAUCAUUGGGGAUACCAUCGUCAAUGAGCUGCGGACUGAUCCUCGUAUUGCCGCGAGCCUCCUUCGGCUUCACUUCCAUGACUGCUUUGUUCGUGUAAGGACUUACUCAACGUAUCUUUUUUGUUAGUAAAAAAAACUACGUCGUCUACUUUUACAUAUAUAUAUUGAAUGGAGGCUAACAUCCAUUUUUAAUGAUAAAUAAUGUCUUCAUGUUAUGUAACAUAUAUGGUUUUAUAGGGUUGUGAUGCAUCGAUCUUGCUUGACAAUUCCACAUCAUUCCGGACCGAGAAAGAUGCUGCUCCAAACAAAAAUUCGGUUCGAGGGUUCGAUGUCAUAGAUAGAAUGAAAGCAGCCAUUGAGAGAGCUUGCCCAAGAACAGUUUCUUGCGCAGAUAUUAUCACCAUCGCCUCUCAGAUAUCAGUUCUUUUGGUAUGUACAUAUAUAUACCUACAUGACUUAUGAUAUUGAUCGGGUGAAGUUAAUCCAAAUAUAUUAUGAAUUUGACAUCAAUGCUUUAUAUGUUAUAGUCUGGCGGUCCAUGGUGGCCAGUUCCGUUGGGGAGAAGAGACAGCGUAGAAGCUUUCUUCGCUCUGGCUAAUACAGCUCUUCCCUCUCCAUUUUCCACUCUUACUCAACUUAAAACAGCUUUUGCUGACGUUGGCCUAAACCGCCCUUCGGAUUUAGUCGCCCUCUCCGGUAAUAUAUAUUUUCGUUCUUGAUCUAGCUAGAUACAAUUCAUUUUAUCUAUUUAUAGCUAGCUAAUUACAAGAUGAUUCAUAGAAUUAUUUUGUAUUUAUAAUUAGAAUGAUCAACUUCAAUUAAUCUAUAUUUAGUAUUAAAAGGCGUUUUUGAGGCAUAUGAAUUAGUUAACAUGAGUUUAGUUAGAAAACCCUCUUGCUUCAUCUUGAGAAAAAAGACUUAGUAGAAAACCAUCUCAAACAAAUAUCUUCUACGUACCACUUGAGUUUGGAUUAUAAAAGGACUUGGUAGAAUGAAAAAGCAUGACUCAUAAUUAAAUAAAACGUACAAUGUAUCUAAUCCUUCAUUUGUCAAAAUGGUAGGUGGUCACACAUUUGGAAAAGCACAAUGCCAAUUCGUGACACCUCGUCUUUACAACUUCAACGGUACCAACAGACCAGACCCAAGUUUGAACCCAACUUACCUCGUUGAACUCCGUCGAUUGUGUCCUCAAAACGGAAACGGCACCGUUCUGGUUAACUUCGAUUCCGUGACUCCAACUACUUUCGAUAGACAAUAUUACACCAAUCUUCUUAAUGGGAAAGGUUUGAUUCAGAGUGACCAAGUGCUUUUCUCAACUCCAGGAGCUGAUACGAUUCCACUAGUAAACCAAUACAGCAGCAACACGUUCGUGUUCUUUGGAGCAUUCGUUGAUGCAAUGAUUAGGAUGGGAAAUCUUAAACCUUUGACUGGAACUCAAGGAGAGAUAAGACAGAAUUGUAGGGUUGUGAAUCCAAGAAUUAGGGUUGUGGAGAACGACGAUGGUG